CCUUGUCACUCCUUCGUCUCGU
rnacentral:miRNA from 9 species